AGAAGGUGUGUCCACUAUUUUCCCAGUGGUGUAUGAAAGGCAGGCCAGCUCCUGAACCCCAACGUUGUUCCUCAAUUUUUUUUUGCCUGGUCUGUAUCAAAAGACAGAAUCUUGAUGACUAAGACAUUUUCUUUGGUACCUACAAGAAGUAUCCAGCUCUCUACUUCUAUCAGCUCCUGGAUGACUACAAGAAAGGGAACCUCCACAUCAUUCCAGACACUCCUCUGGCUGAGGAGAGAUCAGGAGAUGACAGUGAUGUGUUGAUAGACAGAGACAUCAUGGCCUCCAUGCAGAGGAAUGUGUGGAUGGACAUAUAUUUAAGGAAGACACUAAACCAGAAAAUACCACAUUACACCCUCUUAAAAGACUUCUAAGAUUGUUGUCAUGCCUACCACAGACAUUCAGAUGAUGUGUAUUCUUGAUUGUGAUUUCAUGUUUGGAGCUGAUGAAGGAGAAAGUACCUGGAAUGUCCUAGAAUUCUCAAGACCCAGGAGAUGAACAUAUGCCUGAGAAGAAGAACUAGUGUGGAACUGUCAGCCAGGUUUUUGAUGAGUGCUCAGACUGCUUUUUGAUCCGGCACCACAUUUACUAUAGUGGACAGAUGCUCUAGUCUCUGAUGAGGAGUUGCUAGCUGUUAGGAAAAACCUGGAAUGGGCUCCACUGCAUGAGGUUUGAAGUCUCCAGAGCAGCAAAGAGAGUGGGGAGUAGAACUCAUCAUCUUUAGGUCACUCAGCAUC
rnacentral:lncRNA from 1 species